GAGGGUGCAAGCGUUAUCCGGAUUCACUGGGUUUAAAGGGUGCGUAGGCGGGCAGGUAAGUCAGUGGUGAAAUCUCCGAGAUUAACUCGGAAACUGCCAUUGAUACUAUUUGUCUUGAAUAUUGUGGAGGUAAGCGGAAUAUGUCAUGUAGCGGUGAAAUGCUUAGAUAUGACAUAGAACACCAAUUGCGAAGGCAGCUUACUACACAAUGAUUGACGCUGAGGCACGAAAGCGUGGGGAUCAAACAGG
rnacentral:rRNA from 1 species